rnacentral:lncRNA from 1 species
GCGACUUGAAUCUUCAAUCUUGAUCCAAGCCUUGAAAACUAAAAAGCUAAAAAUAUUCUAAAGCUAUAAAACUAAAGUAUGAAUGCUGAGUUCGGGGAUCUCGGGUCCAUGAAUAGGUCAAAAGAGGACCUAUUUAUAGAUUUUUUUUCAGAUUUCCUUCGGAUCACCAUGGAAGUUGCCAUGCAAAGUAGAAUUCUAAAGGUAAUAGAAUCGUGUGAAAUAAGGCAACUCUCCAGCUAGAUGCGCGCUCCGGAAAA